rnacentral:rRNA from 1 species
CCUACGGGGCGCAGCAGUGGGGAAUAUUGCACAAUGGGGGGAACCCUGAUGCAGCGACGCCGCGUGGGUGAAGGAGCACCUCGGUGCGUAAAGCCCUAUCGGCAGGGAAGAAAAGCGAACAGGUUCGCCUGGACGGUACCUGACUAAGAAGCACCGGCUAAAUACGUGCCAGCAGCCGCGGUAAUACGUAUGGUGCAAGCGUUAUCCGGAUUUACUGGGUGUAAAGGGAGCGCAGGCGGCGCGUUAAGCCUGGGGUGAAAGCCCGCGGCCCAACCGCGGGACUGCAUUUGGAACUGGCGCGCUGG